GGCUAACAGCGCACACCACCCCCAGGGGGCUCUACUCUUCUCAGAAGGCACCAGUAUUUCUCAAGCUUUGAGUGGAGAUGUCUUAGCCACCAGAACCCAUCUCUGCUCUGAUAAAGAGGAUUAAAGACGCCUGGGGUAACCUAUAGUGCCCCCAUCCACAGACAUCUCCAUCUCCUGAGAGAAACCUUGAGUGACCUUGUACUCAUAGGUUUUUAUUUCUUCAAACCAGCUGAUGAGCCAUACCACCCCAAGAUAACUGGACAGCACACAAUUCCCUGUAGGUAGGGCUACAAUCUCUUUCAACAAGAAGUAGAUAUAACGUUGGAGACCUUAUAUGUCUCUUAGGGGAAAAUGAGACAGGAGAUUAGGGUAUGGCAGAUUGGCUGGGGAAGUAGGCCUCACCUAUUAAUUACAAAAUCCCAGGACACUUGUACAGAACCAUCUCCAAAGCCUCGCAUGUGGACCCAGUCAGACAGUGCUGUCUUCAAGUCUUCUUGUGAGAACACUAUGCAGUUUUGAUAGGACAGCCUAGACCUGAUGUCAAUCUAGGGUGUGGGAGAUAUAAAAAACAGUCACCAUUAGGCUUGGGGGCCACUGUGCUGUUUCACAGUGAUCUGCUCUCACCCUUCAGAGUGCACUAUUUUCCUACUUUUACUUGGUCCAAACUCUACAGGGCACAUUUUUUCCCCUACCUUUAAUAAAUAUGAA